AUAUUACUCCCUCCGUCCGGAAAUAUUUGUCGAAGAAAUGAAUGUAUCUGGACGUAUUUUAGUUCUAAAUACAUUCAUUUUUAUUCAUUUCUUCGACAAGUAUUUUCGGACAGAGGAAGUAUUAU
rnacentral:pre_miRNA from 1 species